GACGAACGCUGGCGGCGUGCCUAACACAUGCAAGUCGAGCGGGAACCUCAGGAGGGGUAACCCUCCUGAGGGGAGAGCGGCGAACGGGUGAGUAACACGUGGGCAACCUGCCCCGGACACCGGGAUAACCCAGGGAAACCUGAGCUAAUACCGGAUACUCCGGCGAGAUCGCAUGGUCGCGCCGGGAAAGCUCCGACGGUCCGGGAUGGGCCCGCGGCCUAUCAGCUUGUUGGUGGGGUAACGGCCCACCAAGGCGACGACGGGUAGCUGGUCUGAGAGGACGGCCAGCCACACUGGGACUGAGACACGGCCCAGACUCCUACGGGAGGCAGCAGUGGGGGAUCUUGCGCUAAUGCGCGAAAGCGUGACGCAGCGACGCCGCGUGGGGGAUGAAGGCCCUCGGGUUGUAAACCCCUUUCGCCAGGGACGAAGCGAAAGUGACGGUACCUGGAGAAGAAGUCCCGGCUAACUACGUGCCAGCAGCCGCUGUAACAC
rnacentral:rRNA from 1 species